rnacentral:rRNA from 1 species
AUUGAACGCUGGCGGCAUGCCUUACACAUGCAAGUCGAACGGCAGCACGGGGGGUAACCCCUGGUGGCGAGUGGCGAACGGGUGAGUAAUAUAUCGGAACGUGUCCUGUAGCGGGGGAUAACCUAUCGAAAGAUGGACUAAUACCGCAUACGACCUACGCGUGAAAGCGGAAGACCGCAAGGCUUCGCCCUAUCGCAGCUGCCGAUAUCGGAUUAGCUAGUUGGCGGGGUAACGGCCCACCAAGGCGACGAUCCGUAGCUGGUCUGAGAGGACGAUCAGCCACACUGGAACUGAGACACGGUCCAGACUCCUACGGGAGGCAGCAGUGGGGAAUUUUGGACAAUGGGCGCAAGCCUGAUCCAGCCAUGCCGCGUGAGUGAAGAAGGCCUUCGGGUUGUAAAGCUCUUUCGGCGGGGACGAAACGGUUCGUGCUAAUACCACGGACUACUGACGGUACCCGAAGAAGAAGCACCGGCUAACUACGUG